CAGCCGCCACGGUAAUACGUAGGGUGCAAGCGUUAAUCGGAAUUACUGAGCGUAAAGCGUGCGCAGGCGGUUUGUUAAGACAGAUGUGAAAUCCCCGGGCUCAACCUGGGAACUGCAUUUGUGACUGGCAAGCUAGAGUAUGGCAGAGGGGGGUGGAAUUCCGCGUGUAGCAGUGAAAUGCGUAGAUAUGCGGAGGAACACCGAUGGCGAAGGCAGCCCCCUGGGCCAAUACUGACGCUCAUGCACGAAAGCGUGGGGAGCAAACAGGAUUAGAUACCCCGGUAGUCCCUGUCUCUUAUAC
rnacentral:rRNA from 1 species